rnacentral:rRNA from 1 species
GAUGAACGCUGGCGGCGUGCCUAAUACAUGCAAGUAGAACGCUGAAGCUUGGUGCUUGCACCGAGCGGAUGAGUUGCGAACGGGUGAGUAACGCGUAGGUAACCUGCCUCUUAGCGGGGGAUAACUAUUGGAAACGAUAGCUAAUACCGCAUAAAAGUCGAUAUCGCAUGAUAUUGAUUUGAAAGGUGCAAAUGCAUCACUAAGAGAUGGACCUGCGUUGUAUUAGCUAGUUGGUGAGGUAACGGCUCACCAAGGCGACGAUACAUAGCCGACCUGAGAGGGUGAUCGGCCACACUGGGACUGAGACACGGCCCAGACUCCUACGGGAGGCAGCAGUAGGGAAUCUUCGGCAAUGGGGGCAACCCUGACCGAGCAACGCCGCGGGAGUGAAGAAGGUUUUCGGAUCGUAAAGCUCGGUUGUAAGAGAAGAACGAGUGUGAGAGUGGAAAGUUCACACUGUGACGGUAACUUACCAGAAAGGGACGGCUAACUACGUG